GGCGGUAGGCCUAACACAUGCAAGUCGAACGAGUGGCGGACGGGUGAGGAAUACAUCGGAAUCUACUUUUUCGUGGGGGAUAACGUAGGGAAACUUACGCUAAUACCGCAUACGAUUGAAUGAGCCGAUGUCGGAUUAGCUAGUUGGCGGGGUAAAGGCCCACCAAGGCGACGAUCCGUAGCUGGUCUGAGAGGAUGAUCAGCCACACUGGAACUGAGACACGGUCCAGACUCCUACGGGAGGCAGCAGUGGGGAAUAUUGGACAAUGGGCGCAAGCCUGAUCCAGCCAUACCGCGUGGGUGAAGAAGGCCUUCGGGUUGUAAAGCCCUUUUGUUGGGAAAGCGGUACCCAAAGAAUAAGCACCGGCUAACUUCGUGCCAGCAGCCGCGGUAAUACGAAGGGUGCAAGCGUUGCUCGGAAUUACUGGGCGUAAAGCGUGCGUAGGUGGUCGUUUAAGUCCGUUGUGAAAGCCCUGGGCUCAACCUGGGAACUGCAGUGGAUACUGGGCGACUAGAUGUGGUAGAGGGUAGCGGAAUUCCUGGUGUAGCAGUGAAAUGCGUAGAGAUC
rnacentral:rRNA from 1 species